rnacentral:rRNA from 1 species
UACGUAGGGGGCAAGCGUUGUCCGGAAUCAUUGGGCGUAAAGAGCGCGUAGGCGGUCCGAUAAGUCGGCUGUGAAAGUCAGGGGCUCAACCCUUGAAAGCCGGCCGAUACUGUCGGACUAGAGUUCGGAAGAGGCGAGUGGAAUUCCCGGUGUGGCGGUGAAAUGCGCAGAUAUCGGGAGGAACACCAAUGGCGAAGGCAGCUCGCUGGGACGUGACUGACGCUGAGGCGCGAAAGCGUGGGGAGCAAACAGGG